rnacentral:rRNA from 1 species
AGACUACGAGUCUACUGAAGGAACGUUGAAGACGACGACGUUGAGAGGGCGGGGGGGUAAGCGCAGCGAUGCGUUGAGCUAACCGGUACUAAUGAACCGUGAGGCUUAACCUUACAACGCCGAAG